rnacentral:rRNA from 1 species
AUUGAACGCUGGCGGCAGGCCUAACACAUGCAAGUCGAACGAGUGGCGGACGGGUGAGUAAUGUCUGGGAAACUGCCUGAUGGAGGGGGAUAACUACUGGAAACGGUAGCUAAUACCGCAUACCAUCGGAUGUGCCCAGAUGGGAUUAGCUAGUAGGGGGGGUAAAGGCUCACCUAGGCGACGCGCCCUAGCUGGGCUGAGAGGAUGACCAGCAAAACUGGAACUGAGACACGGUCCAGACCCCUACGGGAGGCAGAAGGGGGGAAUAUUCCACAAUGGGCGCAAGCCGGAGGAAGCCAGGCCGCGUGGAUGAAGAAGGCCUUCGGGUUGUAAAGUCCUUUCAGCGGGGAGGCGUUACCCGCAGAAGAAGCACCGGCUAACUCCGUGCCAGCAGCCGCGGUAAUAC